AAGUGUUGAGGUAGAAAGUUCUAUCACGGUGGCUAACGACCAAUAUCGGGAGGUGUGGGGUAUACCGUCCCACCAACACUU
ncrna:unclassified sequences skipping-rope RNA